rnacentral:rRNA from 1 species
CCUACGGGAGGCAGCAGUGGGGAAUAUUGCACAAUGGGGGCAACCCUGAUGCAGCGACGCCGCGUGAGUGAAGAAGUAUUUCGGUAUGUAAAGCUCUAUCAGCAGGGAAGAAAAUGACGGUACCUGAUUAAUAAGCCCCGGCUAACUACGUGCCAGCAGCCGCGGUAAUACGUAGGGGGCAAGGGUUAUCCGGAUUUACUGGGUGUAAAGGGAGCGUAGACGGUAGCAUAAGUGAGGAGUGAAAUGUCGGGGCUUAACCCCGGAACUGCUUUGGAAACUGUGCAGCUAGAGUGCAGGAGAGGUAAGUGGAAUUCGUGGUGUAGCGGUGAAAUGCGUAGAUAUUAGGAGGAACUCCAGUGGCGAAGGCAGCUUACUGGACUGUAACUGACGUUGAUGCUCGAAAGCGUGGGGAGCAAACAGGAUUAGAUACCCCUGUAGUC